UACGAAGGGGGCUAGCGUUGCUCGGAUUUACUGGGCGUAAAGCGCGUGUAGGCGGGAGGGCACGUCCGUCGCUGAAAUCCCCCGGCUCAACCGGGGAACGGGCGCGGAUACGACCUUCCUGGAGGGGCGUAGGGGGACCUGGAACUUCCGGUGGAGCGGUGAAAUGCGUUGAGAUCGGAAGGAACGCCCGUGGCGAAAGCGAGGUCCUGGACGCCUACUGACGCUGAGACGCGAAAGCCAGGGGAGCGAACGGG
rnacentral:rRNA from 1 species